rnacentral:rRNA from 1 species
CUGUAGUCUACAACCCGACUACACGAAGCUGGAAUCGCUAGUAAUCGCGAAUCAGAAUGUCGCGGUGAAUACGUUCCCGGGUCUUGUACACACCGCCCGUCACACCAUGGGAGUUGACAACGCCCGAAGUCAGUGACCCAACCGAAAGGAAGGAGCUGCCGAAGGCGGGGUUGAUAACUGGGGUGAAGUCGUAACAAGGUAGC